CAUCCUUAUCUUCUUUCUCUGCUUCUCAUCUUCUUUCUGCUUCUCAUUAUCUCUAAUAGAGCUAGCUUUACGUUCCUUGCCAUAGGGCAUUCUACUUACAGAAAGUAAGAUUUCAUAAAGCUCUGAUAACUCGCUUUCCAGGUUUCCAUUUUCUUUGUUCUGCAACUUUCUUUGUAACUUUUCCACAAAAAAGCUAGUUACUAAGUUUCCAAUGGCUUCCACUAGCUCCGAAACACCUUCUUUAUCAUUGUCAUCAUCUUCUUCUUCAAUUCCUGGUUCAAACUACGAUGUUUUUCUCAGUUUUCGGGGUGAGGACACCCGCCAUAGCUUUACAGACCACUUAUACGAGGCAUUUAGAUUGAGAGGAAUUGAAGCCUUUAGAGACAGCGAAAAACUCCAACUAGGACAAGAGAUUGCUUCUGAGCUCAUACAAGCAAUAGAAAAAUCCUACUAUGCAAUCGUUGUUUUCUCAGAAAAAUAUGCCGAUUCAAGGUGGUGCUUGGAUGAACUUGCUGAAAUUGUUGAAUGCAAAAAAAAGAAGGGACUUAAAGUGGUGCCCGUCUUUUACCACGUAGAUCCCUCCGACGUACGGAAGCAGACUGGGCCAUUUGAAAAAGCCUUUGACGAACAUCAGAAAAAUGACAAAAUCGAUAGAGAGAAGAUCCAGAAAUGGAAGGAUGCUAUGAGAGAUGUGGGGAAUUUAUCCGGCGAGCAUUUGCUGCCACAUCAAAGGUCUGAGGCAAAAUGUAUCAAAGUCAUUGUGAAAGAGAUAUUAAAUAAAUUGAGUAAUACAUUCUCAGCAGACACUGUUGGACUAGUAGGAAUAAAAACCCGAGUUGAGAAAUUGAAGUCACACUUAGCUAUGGAGUCAAAUGAUGUUCGCAUUAUAGGAAUUUGGGGGACAGGAGGAAUGGGUAAGACAACUCUUGCUAGAGUUGUUUAUGGUAUGAUUUCCAAUAAAUUUGAAGCUUGUAGUUUUAUUGCUAAUAUUAGGGAAGAAUCUAAAAAAUGUGGUUUACAUAAGAUACAACAAAUACUUUUGAGGGAACUUUUGAAUGAUAGAGAUUUGAAGGUACACAAUGAUCAUAAUGGAGUUCUCAUGAUAAAAAGUAGGUUACGUAACAAAAAGAUCCUUCUUGUUCUUGAUGAUGUAACUGAAUUAGACCAAUUGAAGAAGUUAGCUGGGGAGAAUUGUUGGUUUGGUUCAGGUAGUAGAGUUAUGAUAACAACAAGAGAUAAGCAUUUGUUGGUGUCGCAUGAAGUAAAAGAAAUAUAUGAGGCUGAAGUCUUGAAUCAUGAGGAAGCUCUUCAACUUUUUAGUUUGAAAGCUUUGAAAAUGGACCAUCCACCUGCAGAUUAUGGAAACCUAUCUCAAGCUUUUGUAAAUUAUUCUAAGGGUCUUCCUUUGGCCCUUGAAGUUUUGGGUUCUUUCUUGUUCGGAAAAAACAUUGAUGAAUGGAAAAAUGGAUUGGAUAGGCUCAAUGAAUUUCCUGAAAGAAGAAUUCUCGAUGUGCUUCAAAUAAGUUUUGAUGGAUUACGAUCAACAGAAAAGGAAAUUUUCUUAAAUAUUGCAUGUUUUUUUAAUCACAUGUAUCCAGAUUUUGUCAUAAAAAGACUAGACUAUCUUGGGCAUUAUCCUAAAAUUGGAUUAAAGGUUCUCAUUGAUAAAUCUCUAGUUAAAUUGCAUAAUAAUCAAUUGUGGAUGCAUGAUUUACUACAAGAAAUGGGGCGAGAUAUAGUUCAUCAACAGUGCCCUAAAGACCCCGGGAAACGUAGUAGAUUGUGGUUGUUUGAAGAUAUUGACAAUGUGUUGACAAAAAAUACGGGAACAGAGGUAAUUCAAGGCAUAGUACUAAAGUUGCAUGAACCAAAAAAUGUAUAUUGGAAUCCUGAAGCCUUUUCAAAGAUGCAAGAUCUAAAAUUGCUUGAAAUUUGUGGUGUUCAACUUAUGCAUGGUCUCAGACAUCUUCCUAAUAGUUUAAAAAUUCUUGAUUGGAGAGGGUACCCUUCAAAAUCGUUGACAUCAAGUUUCCAAUCAAAGAGUUUUGAGAAUUUGAAAUUCAUUGAGCUAAGUGAAUCUCAAAAACUUAUUGAAGCCCCAGACAUCAUUAAAGUCCCAAAUCUUGAGAGUUUGGUUCUUGAAGGUUGUAUAAAUUUACCUAAGAUUCACCCAUCAAUUGGAAUUCAUAAAAAGCUUACCAUUCUUAAUUUACAAGGAUGCAAGAAUCUCACAAGUCUUCCAAGCAAGUUUGAAAUGGAGUGUCUUACAGACCUUAAUCUUCAUGGUUGCUCAAAAAUAACAAGAAUUCCAGAAUUUGGGAGAAACAUGAAACGUGUACAAAGUCUUCUAUUGAGUGCUACUGCAAUUACAGCACUACCUAAGUCAAUUGAGCAUUUGACUGACCUUGUUAGUUUGAAUCUAAGUGAGAGCAAAAAUCUUGUGUGUUUACCUCAUACAAUUUUUAAUUUUAAGUUUAUUAGAUUCAUCAUUCUUGCGAGAUGCUCAAAACUAGAUAGAUUGCCAGAGAACCUAGGGAAUGCCGAAAGUCUACAACGGUUGGAUUUGAGAGGAACUGCUAUAAGACAGGUCCCCUCUUCCAUUGGUCUCUUAAAAAAACUUAAAUGGCUAUCUAUCUGUGGAUGUAAGGGGUUAUCAUCAUCUAAUAAAUUGUGGUAUGAGGUCCUCCCGUUUUAUUCAAUGCCAACAAGUCCUCAUCCCAUGGACUUGCUAUUCUCUUCUCUAUCUCUAUCACCUGCAUCUUGUUUGAUCGAAUUGAAUUUAAGUGGCUGCAAUCUCAAGGCAAUCUCCAAUGAUAUUGGUUCCUUAUUCUCUUUAUAUGGGUUGGAACUAAGUGGAAAUGAUUUUGUUUGCCUUCCGGAAAGCGUCAUUCGACUUUCGAAAUUGAAACGGAUGAGGUUGAAUAAUUGCACAAGUCUUCGAUCAUUGCCAAAGCUUCCAUUGAAUAUUGCCGAAGUUGAGGCAGAAGGUUGUAUCUCACUGGAAAUGUUAGCAGAUCCAUUAAAACAAAGUGAUUCAUUGGAGCCAUCUCUCUAUCUUCAUAAUUGCUUUAAAUUGGCUGACAAUCAAAGCUGCAUAGACUGGUUUAUCUCAGGGAUAAAAAAGUCCCUCAAGCUCUCUCCCUCUCUCCCUCUCUCAUUCCUAGAAAAGAAAUAUGACAUUGUUAUUCCCGGAAGUGAAAUUCCUGAGUGGUUCAGCCACCAAAGAGUGGGGAAUGAAGUGAAAAUAAAACUACCUUCUCAUUUGUAUAAGAAGGUGGGAAUUGCUAUUUGCGCUGCGUUUAGUACGCAUUAUGUUGUUCCAGAUCUAAUCUACUCUCUUCCCUGUUCAUUGACAGUCAAAGGAAAAACACUGCUUGCUAGUAGCUGUUCCUUAAUUGAUAAGGUUUUAUCAGAUCACCUUUGGCUAGGCUAUGUGACUCCUCAAUUCUUAGACGAGAACUUUAAUAAAUUAUUGUCGGAAGGUGAUGCGAAUGGAUUCAGUCAGAUUGGAAUUGAAUUUGAAACCUAUGACUCAAUCUGGGAGGUAAAAAAAUGCGGGUUGCGUGUGAUUUACAAGAAAGACAUAGAAGAUCUUGACCAAACAAUGGUCCAGUGUAGCAACAGCAGCAUCACUCCUUAUGGGGACUUGGAUGUUUUCCAUCAUAAUUUCAACAAUUCAGCAAUGGUAGUGGAAUGUCACAAAGUCAAGCGCAGUCAUGAUGAUUGUGACGGGGCUGGAGCCAGUGGAGAAGGAAGCUCUAAUGAGAUACCAAACCCAAAAAGGAUUAAAAGGCACACAGAAACCCAUGGUAACUCUGAUUGUGAGGAGUCAAGUGAGUACAAGGACUGUGAUGAAGAGUUAAGCGACUGUGAUGCUUAAUCAACGUUUCAGCCCAUUUCAAAUCAUGACCAAGGCCAACCACCCAUGCCCAUUUCACAUGUUCAUAUUUAUAGUAAUCAGACCCAUGCAGGCAAGCAAGUAUUUAACAAGAUUGAAAAUGGGAUAAGGUAGUAUGCUUAGAUUUGUAAACCCUACUUUACUUGUUAUUUUCGUUUUGAUGCAUUACGCCUACAAUUAUAUACCUUUAUAGUAAAUUGAUAAUAUACCUUUAUAGACAUCCAAGUAUGUACAUAUGGUUCCAAUUUUUUUGCAUGUCAACAAAGGGGUGUCUUAUGAAAUUGUUUAGGCUCUGUUAAUGUUGUGGCAGAUGUGCUAGUCAAAGAUACUUUUAGCCCAGAUGGAUGUGCAGGGUAACUAACAAUUCAAAAAACAAACAAAAGCCUAAACAGCCAAGAUAAGCAAAUCUAGACCUUUAGAGAGGGUUCAACUGCAACCAAUCCUAUUGAAGGAGAGCUGCAAGGAUAGGGGAUGGAAAUAGUGGGGAUCCAAUUUCUUUUUUUAAAAUAGAGAAUGUGCAUGUUCAUAGCUGCUUGUGAGCAGUCAAGUGAGUGAUUAGUGACCUGAGAUUUUUUCAUUGGAAGGAAUUUUGCGAUGUGACCCAAAAGGUUAAUCAACUUUUUUCUCUCUAUCACCAAUCGUGACCAGGGCAAAACUGUUCAUGCUCAUUUCACAGGAUAAAACAAAGCAGAAGACUUAUCUCCAUGGGUAACUUAGCUUGGCUACCCUAUCAAAGUGACUCAACUAGAAUUAGAAUCAAAGGAUAACAGAAGUUAAACCUGAGCGUACGACAAACUUAGCCAUAAAUUACUAACCUAAUUCUCUGGUGCAUAUUCAAUUCGGCAAGCAACUGUGCAGAAAAGGUUGAAAAAUACUUAAGGUAUCCUGCUUUGAUUGGACCUGAAUAGAGAGCUGUACUCACCAGAAGUGGCUGCUCAAAUUUUAGCUAUCUCUAUCUCAAGCUGUGGAGUUACUGAUAAGCUGCUAUGGCCUUAUACAACACAACAUACUUUGUUUUGUAGGUAUGCACAAGCCUAUGAUGCACAACAUGUUGAUUAGAGUAACUACUGGAGAGUACCAAGGCGAGUGUGUCCAGUUGUGGAGGGAUGGCAAGUGUUGCUGACAGUUGAGGGGCACUGGCAGAGCAGAUGCAAAUGGUGUUGUUUUGCCUAUGAAGCUAAAUCAUGGGCUGGCAGAUAAUUUUUCAGGCUGUUCCAGUAAUGCCG